UACGUAGGGUGCGAGCGUUGUCCGGAAUUAUUGGGCGUAAAGAGCUUGUAGGCGGUCUGUCGCGUCUGCUGUGAAAAUCCGGGGCUCAACCCCGGACUUGCAGUGGGUACGGGCAGACUAGAGUGUGGUAGGGGGAGACUGGAAUUCCUGGUGUAGCGGUGAAAUGCGCAGAUAUCAGGAGGAACACCGAUGGCGAAGGCAGGUCUCUGGGCCACUACUGAC
rnacentral:rRNA from 1 species